CGUAGGUGGCAAGCGUUGUCCGGAUUUAUUGGGUUUAAAGGGUGCGUAGGUGGCCCUGUAAGUCAGUGGUGAAAUAUCUCAGCUUAACUGAGAGGGUGCCAUUGAUACUGCGGGGCUUGAGUACAGAUGAGGUAGGCGGAAUUGACGGUGUAGCGGUGAAAUGCAUAGAUAUCGUCAAGAACACCGAUAGCGAAGGCAGCUUACCAAGCUGUAACUGACACUGAGGCACGAAAGUGUGGGGAUCAAACAGGAUUAGAUACCCUGGUAGUCCACACUGUAAACGUUGAUGACUCGAUGUUGGCGAUACACAGCCAGCGUCCAAGAGCAAUCGUUAAGUCAUCCACCUGGGGAGUACGCCGGCAACGGUG
rnacentral:rRNA from 1 species